AUCGCAGAGUGAAUGGUGAAGACACGUGGAGUUAUCCAAUCAUCCACUAUUUAUUUGGAUUAAUCAUUCCGAAGAGUGGCGUUAGCUGAACUACCCGAGGGAAAAGUGAAAAUAAAGUGAAAUUCUUGAAAGAAGCAAAGGGAUAGGAGUACUGGAAAAUCUUAAUACAGCCAAGCCGGCCAACCAAUCUACGGUAUCAACUACAAAAACAACAAAGCUGACCGUUUGGGAGUUAGGGCUCGCGCCUUAACAUGGGAUCAUCGGAGCAGUGCAAAAAAAAAGUUUAAGUAUUUAAAAGACGAAUACCGCAAGGCCCAGCGAAAUGUGCCAAGACUCGCAUCAGGAGCAGCAGCAGCAGAGCCUCACGUUUUCAAAUUUAAAUAUUUUAAUUUAAUGCACUUUUUGAGGGAUGAUUUCGGUGGAGAAACCGACGGAAAUAUAGGAGGCACAUACAUCGAACUAAUGGACGACACAUCAAUGCCAUAUAGUGCUGAACUGUACGACACUGAAAUUGCCUUGACAAAAGAUGACAUCGAAAAGCCAGGACCGUCCAAACGACAUAACAAACGACAAAAAGACAUGGACAACGAACUAAUAGAAAUCGAACA